rnacentral:miRNA from 1 species
AAUCCCAAUUCGAAGAUACCG